rnacentral:rRNA from 1 species
AUUGAACGCUGGCGGCAUGCUUUACACAUGCAAGUCGAACGGCAGCGCGGGCUUCGGCCUGGCGGCGAGUGGCGAACGGGUGAGUAAUACAUCGGAACGUGCCCAGUAGUGGGGGAUAGCUCGGCGAAAGCCGGAUUAAUACCGCAUACGACCUGUGGGUGAAAGCGGGGGAUCUUUGGACCUCGCGCUAUUGGAGCGGCCGAUGGCCGAUUAGCUAGUUGGUGGGGUAACGGCCUACCAAGGCGACGAUCGGUAGCUGGUCUGAGAGGACGACCAGCCACACGGGGACUGAGACACGGCCCAGACACCGACGGGAGGCAGCAGUGGGGAAUUUUGGACAAUGGGCGAAAGCCUGAUACAGCAAUGCCGCGUGUGUGAUGAAGGCCUUCGGGUUGUAAAGCACUUUUGGCGGGAACGAAAAGAACUGUGCCAAUACCACGGUUCGAUGACGGUACCCGCAGAAUAAGCACCGGCUAACUACGUG